rnacentral:rRNA from 1 species
AUGUCUAAGUAUAAGCAAAUUAUACCGUGAAACUGCGAAUGGCUCAUUAAAUCAGUUAUCGUUUAUUUGAUAGUACCUUACUACUUGGAUAACCGUGGUAAUUCUAGAGCUAAUACAUGCUAAAAACCUCGACUUCGGGAGGGGUGUAUUUAUUAGAUAAAAAACCAAUGCCCUUUGGGGCUCUUUGGUGAUUCAUAAUAACUUAACGGAUCGCAUGGCCUUGCGCUGGCGACGGUUCAUUCAAAUUUCUGCCCUAUCAACUUUCGAUGGUAAGGUAUUGGCUUACCAUGGUUUCAACGGGUAACGGGGAAUUAGGGUUCGACUCCGGAGAGGGAGCCUGAGAAACGGCUACCACAUCCAAGGAAGGCAGCAGGCGCGCAAAUUACCCAAUCCCGACACGGGGAGGUAGUGACAAUAAAUACUGAUACAGGGCUCUUUUGGGUCUUGUAAUUGGAAUGAGUACAAUUUAAACCCCUUAACGAGGAACAAUUGGAGGGCAAGUCUGGUGCCAGCAGCCGCGGUAAUUCCAGCUCCAAUAGCGUAUAUUAAAGUUGUUGCAGUUAAAAAGCUCGUAGUUGAACCUUGGGCCUGGCUGGCCGGUCCGCCUCACCGCGUGUACUGGUCCGGCCGGGCCUUUCCUUCUGGAGAGCCGCAUGCCCUUCACUGGGUGUGUCGGGGAACCAGGACUUUUACUUUGAAAAAAUUAGAGUGUUCAAAGCAGGCCUUUGCUCGAAUACGUUAGCAUGGAAUAAUAGAAUAGGACUUGCGGUCCUAUUUUGUUGGUUUCUAGGACCGCCGUAAUGAUUAAUAGGGAUAGUCGGGGGCAUCAGUAUUCAAUUGUCAGAGGUGAAAUUCUUGGAUUUAUUGAAGACUAACUACUGCGAAAGCAUUUGCCAAGGAUGUUUUCAUUAAUCAGUGAACGAAAGUUAGGGGAUCGAAGACGAUCAGAUACCGUCGUAGUCUUAACCGUAAACUAUGCCGACUAGGGAUCGGGCGAUGUUACUAUUUUGACUCGCUCGGCACCUUACGAGAAAUCAAAGUUUUUGGGUUCUGGGGGGAGUAUGGUCGCAAGGCUGAAACUUAAAGAAAUUGACGGAAGGGCACCACCAGGC